rnacentral:rRNA from 1 species
CUAGCUGUAAACUAUGGGUACUAGGUGUUGGCAGUUACCUGUCAGUGCCGAAGUUAACGCAUUAAGUAUCCCGCCUGGGGAGUACGGCCGCAAGGCUGAAACUCAAAGGAAUUGACGGGGGCCCGCACAAGCAGUGGAGCAUGUGGUUUAAUUCGAAGCUACGCGAAGAACCUUACCGGGGAUUGACAUCUUGACGAACCCUGUAGAAAUACGGGGGUGCCUUCGGGAGCGUCAAGACAGGUGG